GGGCCCGCACAAGCGGUGGAGUAUGUGGUUUAAUUCGAUGCAACGCGAAGAACCUUACCAGGGUUUGACAUCCUGCGAAUCUCUUGGAAACAGGAGAGUGCCUUCGGGAACGCAGUGACAGGUGGUGCAUGGCUGUCGUCAGCUCGUGUCGUGAGAUGUUGGGUUAAGUCCCGCAACGAGCGCAACCCACGUCUUUAGUUGCCAGCAUUUAGUUGGGCACUCUAGAGAGACUGCCGGUGAUAAACCGGAGGAAGGUGUGGAUGACGUCAAGUCAUCAUGGCCCUUACGAGUAGGGCUACACACGUGCUACAAUGGCGCAUACAGAGGGCGGCCAACUUGCGAGAGUGAGCGAAUCCCAUAAACCGUGGCUCAGUUCAGAUCGUAGGCUGCAACUCGCCUACGUGAAGGAGGAAUCGCUAGUAAUCGCAGGU
rnacentral:rRNA from 1 species